GAUACUACUAAAAAUCAAAGUUUAAUUGUCUAACUGCCAGAUUACAGCAUCAUUGGAAAUUGCAGCGUGGCCGGUUUUCUCAUAUGAAAGCUAAGCCUUUGAAUCUGGAAGGAGGAACCUCAAACUUAAAAUGGGACACAAAGUUGGACUGAACCUGACAACCUUGAACCCCUGAGUUUUCCCUGACAGUGGAGGGAGCUUGUCUUUCUCUGAGGAGCCUGGAGCAGCCUUGGGUGAGGAAUGGGAUCCAGCAACUGUUGAUCAAAGGAGGAGGCAACCAUGGAGGAGGACGCAGAUGAGACAUUAGCACUGAGAAAAGAACCUGAGGCCUUGUCACGUUUGCAUACUAAAUGGAACCACACAGUGCACAGAACUGUGAACUUGGAGGCAGGUGGCUUAGACUCUAAUUCAGUUUUUUACCUGUUCAUCCCAUGAACUAGAAAAAAACUCUCUUUCAGCUUCCGCAUAUCCACCCAAACAAUAGUUCUCACUCUGAAGCUCUAGAAGACAUGGAUCUUGCUAUAUACACCAGGCUGUCCUCAGACUCACAGAGAUCCAGCCACCCGUCUCUGCUCCCAAGUUCCGGGAUUUAAAGUGUGUGCUGCUAUACCGAACCCAUAUGAUUCUUUUUCCAGUAUUUAUUGUAUUUAUAUGUGCAAGUCUAUGUGAGGUUUUGUGCGCCCGUGGGUGUUCACGAAUGCAUGCACGCAUGUGAGUGUGCAGACCGAAGCCAGAAAAGGGCAUCUGAUUCCUUGGAGCUGAAGUGAUGUGUGUUUGUGGAAUAGCCAGGUUGCUAUGGGCAUUCUGGAAUCCAAACUCUGGCCCUUAACACUGAGCGCAAGCACUCUUAGCCACUCAUCUCCAGCUGUGAUAUGUUACUCUGAACACAGAAAAUAUGCAAAAGGCACAUUCACAAAUAAAGGAAUGUGUUGGGACUUGUAUUUGGAAGUCCAUUCCAUCUUGCCACAAGUUCAGAGAGCU